UCCCUGGUGGCUCAGAGGGUACAGCAUCUGCCUACAAUUCAGGAGACCCAGGUUCGAUCCCUGGGUCGAGAA
rfam:Ovis aries breed Texel chromosome 9, whole genome shotgun sequence.